CAGCAAGAAAAGUGAGGGACUUUUAGGGGCAGCUGUGUUUUACUGAACCAGUCAUAAUGCCCCUAAAAAUCCUUAUUGCUCUUGCA
rnacentral:pre_miRNA from 1 species